GACUAUUCAACACCGGUACGAGACACACCGCAACUACAAGAUGACACUCGAACAACUUGAGGCAAACCAAGUUUCAAUAAGAACAGACAUUGAAUCUAUGGAGGCAAAGAUGGAUCGUUUGCUUGAGACUAUGUUGCUCUUAUCCCAGAAGGAAAAAUAUGUUGAAACUAACCCCGAAGCCAGAAGAGUUGUUGCUCAGUUUGGAUCGCCA
rnacentral:lncRNA from 1 species